AUUACAAAAUAGUCAAAAUCCAAAUGUAUGAAUUAUUCGGUAUGCAUAACCAUAUAGUUCCAACAAUAUCAUGAGCAGCAUUCGAGAAAAAAUAAUGUCUAUGAGCACGAUCCCUGCACGAGCGCGGCGGAGCGCGCUGUUUCUCCUUACCCAGAGUUUUCCUUACCCAGCGACAUGUGGGCCCUCAACAACACCAAGGCCGGCGGGCCCUUCCUCACGCCACGGCGCCCCGCGCCGCUGUCGCCGGCGGCGGCGGGGCGGAGGGUCUGGAGGCGCGGCCCCGCGCGGGUGCCGCUGGUGGCGGUGCGCGCGUCAGGGGCUGGGGGUAAGGACGGCCUCGGCGGCGGCGAGGAGGCCGAGAGCAAGGCAUCGUCUUCCGGACAUGGUGACGCGUCUGCCUCUGCAGGGGAUGCUUCUGCUGGAUUGAACAAACUGCAUGACGAAUCAAAGUCUAGCGAUCUCAUUAAUGUUUCUAGCAGCAGUUACUGGCGAGACGUGAGGGCAAACCUUGUCCGUCGGGAACAGGAGUUACUCGUGGACCCAUGUGCUCCCACAGAGUCCAAGGCAUCCUCGGGAGAUCCAGUACAGCUUCCUCAAAAAUGGGCCCAUGCUAUUACAAUGCCAGAGGCAGGGUGUGUCUUGGUUGCUACUGAGGCGCUUGAUGAUGACAGCAUAUUUGAAAGAACUGUCAUUUUCCUUCUCAAGCUUGGUUCAAGGGGUACCUUUGAUGGCCCAUUUGGAGUCAUACUGAACCGCCCACUGUACACAUUUAUCAAGCACGAUAAUCCAUCGUCCCAAGACCAGGCAACCCCUCUUCUUCGGAGGCCCUGUUCACAUGAGCAUGUUCCUGGUGCGGACUACUGACAGCUCACGUCUCAAGGGGUUUGAAGAGGUCAUUCCAGGCAUCUGCUUCGGUUUCCGAACUGACCUUGAAAAGGCUGCUGUUCUGAUGAAGAGUGGUGCAAUCAAGACCCAGGACCUGAGAUUCUACGUCGGCCAUGCUGCCUGGGACUCUGAGCAGCUGUUAGGUGAAAUCAGGGCUGGGUACUGGGCGGUCGCUUCCUGCAGCACUGAACUGAUCAGUGAUGCGUUGACGGGUGAUCCUUCUUGCCUCUGGACUGAGAUACUGCAGCUGAUGGGCGGGCAGUACUCGGAGCUGAGUCAGAAACCGAAGCAAGAUAGCUCAUAGAUGUUUUGCUCAUUUGCACCGAGAUAUUGCUUCUGAUGGGAUGGCAGUACUCGGAGCUGAGCUAGAGACCGAAGCAAGACAGCUCAUAGACGUUUCGUUCAUCUGCUAAAUUGCUACUAUGUAAUUUUCCGCAACUGAUGUUGUGGUAAAGUCUGUACAUAAUUGGAAUAGGGUGAUUCACCUGCCACUCAUAGCCUAAUGUUGUAACAGUUAUAUGUGUUGGUUGUACUGAAAUAUAUCUGUUGGCCGGCUGCUAGUGGAUGACAGCAAUUGGCGAAUGUGAAUAUAGUGCAUUUGAGGAAGCAAAUA